GAUGAAGAACGUAGCGAAAUGCGAUAAGUAGUGUGAAUUGCAGAAUUCAGUGAAUCAUCGAAUCUUUGAACGCACAUUGCGCCCCUCGGUAUUCCGUGGGGCAUGCCUGUUCGAGCGUCAUUUAACCCCUCAAGCCUAGCUUGGUAUUGGGUGCUUGUCCCGCCUCUCGCGCGGCGACUCACCUCAAAGUCAUUGGCAGCCCGCAUCUCGCCGGCCGUGAGCGCAGCACAGACGCGCUCUUGGCAACGACGGAUCGGCUCUCCAAAAGCUUAUUUCAACCACUGACCUCGGAUCAGGUAGGGAUACCCGCUGACCUUAAGCAUAUCAAUAAGCGGAGGA
rnacentral:misc_RNA from 1 species